rnacentral:snRNA from 14 species
AUAUUUGCCUGGCACAGAGGCUACCGUGAUCAGGAAUCAUGAUACGAUUCCUCCAGAGCUUCUUCCAUUGCAUUACGGUGACUCGAUCUGACUCUUGCGAAUAUCCCUAAAGGAUAUCUCGGACGUAUAAUUUUUGGUAGUAAAAUGCUGACUGACAUUUAA